AGUAGCAGUAGCAAAAUGGCCCUCCCUUUCAAAGAUCAGAAUAGUGUAAUCAAUGGAGCCCCUGCAUCCAAAUGGCAAUCUCUUCUCAUUCCAUAUCCCAAAUUUUGUUGCUGGCAGUCUCCUUGUUUUAAGUGUCUUUGUAUCUUAGUGUUCAUGGUGAUGUACUAAGUUUCUCCUAUGCUUUUACUUUGUUGCUUCUCAUUUUGAGAGUUUCUCCUAUUCCAUAUCCCAAAUUUUGAGAGUUAUGCUUCUCAUUCUUUUGUUGCUU
rnacentral:misc_RNA from 1 species